rnacentral:rRNA from 1 species
GAUGAACGCUGGCGGCGUGCCUAAUACAUGCAAGUCGAGCGAACGGACGAGAAGCUUGCUUCUCUGAUGUUAGCGGCGGACGGGUGAGUAACACGUGGAUAACCUACCUAUAAGACUGGGAUAACUUCGGGAAACCGUAGCUAAUACCGGAUAAUAUUUUGAACCGCAUGGUUCAAAAGUGAAAGACGGUCUUGCUGUCUCUUAUAGAUGGAUCCGCGCUGCAUUAGCUAGUUGGUAAGGUAACGGCUUACCAAGGCAACGAUGCAUAGCCGACCUGAGAGGGUGAUCGGCCACACUGGAACUGAGACACGGUCCAGACUCCUAAGGGAGGCAGCAGUAGGGAAUCUUCCGCAAUGGGCGAAAGCCUGACGGAGCAACGCCGCGUGAGUGAUGAAGGUCUUCGGAUCGUAAAACUCUGUUAUUAGGGAAGAACAUAUGUGUAAGUAACUGUGCACAUCUUGACGGUACCUAAUCAGAAAGCCACGGCUAACUACGUG